UGCACAUGAUGCCGUUCUCUCACGAUGGUCUUCCAAGCCUCGCGGUGAAGGGGCUUUGACGACGAUGCCACACGGCUUUGCUGAUGCCCGGCA
rnacentral:snoRNA from 1 species